AUUGAACGCUGGCGGCAGGCCUAACACAUGCAAGUCGAGCGGAUGAAGGGAGCUUGCUCCUGGAUUCCGCGGCGGACGGGUGAGUAAUGCCUAGGAAUCUGCCUGGUAGUGGGGGAUAACGUCCGGAAACGGGCGCUAAUACCGCAUACGUCCUGAGGGAGAAAGUGGGGGAUCUUCGGACCUCACGCUAUCAGAUGAGCCUAGGUCGGAUUAGCUAGUUGGUGGGGUAAAGGCCUACCAAGGCGACGAUCCGUAACUGGUCUGAGAGGAUGAUCAGUCACACUGGAACUGAGACACGGUCCAGACUCCUACGGGAGGCAGCAGUGGGGAAUAUUGGACAAUGGGCGAAAGCCUGAGCCAGCCAUGCCGCGUGUGUGAAGAAGGUCUUCGGAUUGUAAAGCACUUUAAGUUGGGAGGAAGGGCAGUAAGAUAAUACAUUGCUGUUUUGACGUUACCAACAGAAUAAGCACCGGCUAACUUCGUG
rnacentral:rRNA from 1 species